AGAGUUUGAUCCUGGCUCAGAUUGAACGCUGGCGGUAUGCUUAACACAUGCAAGUCGAACGGUAACAGGCCUUCGGGCGCUGACGAGUGGCGGACGGGUGAGUAACGCGUAGGAAUCUGCCUCAUAGUGGGGGACAACGUGGGGAAACUCACGCUAAUACCGCAUACGCCCUACGGGGGAAAGCGGGGGAUCUUCGGACCUCGCGCUAUGAGAUGAGCCUGCGUUAGAUUAGCUAGUUGGUGGGGUAAAGGCCUACCAAGGCGACGAUCUAUAGCUGGUCUGAGAGGACGAUCAGCCACACUGGGACUGAGACACGGCCCAGACUCCUACGGGAGGCAGCAGUGGGGAAUAUUGGACAAUGGGCGAAAGCCUGAUCCAGCAAUACCGCGUGUGUGAAGAAGGCCUUAGGGUUGUAAAGCACUUUCAAUUGGGAGGAAAACCUGCCGGUCAAUACCCGGUAGCUUGACAUUACCUUUAGAAGAAGCACCGGCUAACUCCGUGCCAGCAGCCGCGGUAAUACGGAGGGUGCGAGCGUUAAUCGGAAUUACUGGGCGUAAAGCGUGCGUAGGCGGUUCGUUAAGUCAGAUGUGAAAGCCCUGGGCUCAACCUGGGAACUGCAUUUGAAACUGGCGGACUAGAGUUUAGUAGAGGGGAGUGGAAUUUCAGGUGUAGCGGUGAAAUGCGUAGAUAUCUGAAGGAACACCAGUGGCGAAGGCGACUCCCUGGACUAGAACUGACGCUGAGGUACGAAAGCGUGGGUAGCAAACAGGAUUAGAUACCCUGGUAGUCCACGCCGUAAA
rnacentral:rRNA from 1 species